ACACAAGUUUAUUUUAUUCUUAUUAUUUUUUAUUUUUGAAAAAACCACUUUUCGAUUUGAUGUCUUUGGAGAAUUCCGAUGUUAUUAAUAAAAAUUUCAAUCAUUGGUUAUGAAUUUCAACAAAUAGAAUUAGGUUUCGGCUCAAUUCUUGGAUAAAUGUUUGAGCACAAAGAACAUGAAUCCAUCUGCACAAGCGCACUAAAAAAAAAAUUCGGGUUUGCACACACAUCUACUCUGUUUUUGAUAAUAAUGAUAGUAUCGAUAUUUAGACUGAAUAUAUAAUUCAGUGAAUCAAUAAUCGACCGCGGUAUAUCAAAAACAAUUGAUAAAUAAUUUUAAAAAUAUGGAAUCAGAUAAUUCAAUUAAAUUCAAUGCUCAUUCAUCAAUAACGACAAAGGGCAAAAUUACGAAGCAACGAACUCGAAAUAAAUCAACGACAACUAAAUCAAAAUUAAAAAAGAAAAAAACUACCACCGAAGAAAAUUUACAGAUAGAUGAACAAACGAAUUUGAAGCAAAUUUCAAUAUCCGAUUUAGGACAGCAACAAUCUUCGUCAUCGUCUUGUGUGGCAUUGUUUCAAGAACAGCAUACAACAAAUGAUGACUUGACAAUCCAUUCUUUUGAAGAUAAUUCUAAUAGUUCUCGUUGUUCGAAUUGGUUUUUCAUAGUGGCUGAUGUACCGAGAAAAAAAUCCCCAGAUUCUAAUGCCGAAAGAACCUUUUGUCAAGGAUGUGGUCUCAUACGUCGUAUAAGGAAAAUGUACCGUCUAAAAUUGAUUCAUAUUGAUGAAUAUGAUCCAUUAUCGACUUCAUCAUCAUCGCAAUCAAGACCUAAAGUUGACCUAUACAUCUGUCGUGAUUGUGGAUUCUAUAAUCUUAAAACAAAAACUUUUGAAUAUUAUUGGUUAUCCGAUGCUGAUGAGUCAGACAUUGAUGAGCAAUGUGUAGAGAUAAAUAUGGUCGAAGGCGAUUAUUGUGAUCAAAUCGAUAAUAAAAUCGUCCAUAAUGAUGCUGAAAUAAUCACUACACAUCUUCCAUUGCAGUGCAAUAAUGUUCAUAAUGAUAAUGAUGAAAAAGAAUCGAUAAAUUUACAAUCAUCCGACGGUAGUCAUCAAAAUGAUGAAUUCGAUUCUUGCCAAUAUGUAUGAUGAUGAUUAAUAUAAUUUUCGUCACCAAAGCAUCAAUGUACAUGUUGGAUAAUAAAUGUUUAUAAGAUGUGAUGCGCAGUGCAAAUGUACAUUUUCGUCCUUGUCGUUCACUAUACUUGCAUAUUUUAUAUCCGUCUUGAAAAAAUCCUGUAUAUUAUUAUAUUAUAAGAUUUAAUGUGUUAUAUACAAACAUAACCGAAUAAAAUUCUCGAUAAAUCGAUUUCCUGCUCAACUAAAGGAAAACAUCAUUUGCUUGACCAUUCCCAAUAUUCAAUGAAUCAUCUUUAUCUUUUUUUUACGAAUAAAUUAAAAUGAUGAUUGAUACUAAAAGUAUAUAUCAUUGUGGUUGCGGUAUUGAAUUGCUAAAACAUGCUGCUAUUUCAAUCGAGAAAAAGAAUUUUUUAAGUCAUUCAUCAUCAUCUUUAUUAUCAAAGGAAAUUAUGAUGGCCAACAAUGAUUAUCGAAUUAUGAAUGGAUUAUUUUGGCUUAAAAACGCAGCCAUAUUCAUGAUCAAUUAUGGUCAAAAUGAAUCGGAUUCGAACAAUCAUUCCAUUCGAUCGCCAUCACAAUCAAUUGCAAGUGAAAUUGAAAUCGAUGAUCAAUCUUUUGACGAUUCCACGUCUGAAUAUUACGGUGUUUACGCCGAAAAACUUGAAUCUCAUCGUGAUGAUAAGCUUACUCUAUCGAACAAUUCGGUAUCACAUCUUGUUGAUUGUUCUCAUGAUACAGUGACAAAUCUUUACAAUGAUCAUGCAUAUGCCAAAAGGCCUUGUUGUUACAAAUGUAAUUGUCAAAGGGAAAGAAAGAUUUUAUCAAAACAAAAUCGAAAAUUAUUACGAUUUCAAACUUUAUUCGAAACCAAAUGGAAACAAAAUCAGAGACAAAAAUAAUGAAUUAUAGAUUUAUAUAGUCAUUAAAUUUUAAUAUUGUGAAAAAAAUCAAAUAGAAAAACGAUUGCACACAUUUCCAAAGUUUCAAACAAUAUUAUGACAAAAACUAUUUUCCUUCAGAAUCAUUUUCUGUUUUAUCUACAACAGAUGUACCUAAUGAACAAUUUAUUGAUGAUGAUGAUGUCGAUGAUGAUGAUGAUGAUGAAGUGUUAAUUUUAUUAUCGUUUUUCUUUGCAGAGAUGACAUUGGCUAAAUGUCGUUUCAAUUUUUUUUCUUGCUUUCGUCGUCUUCUUUCGGCUUCUUUCUGGACUAAUCCAUCAUGUAUUUUUAUUAAUUUAUCUACAUCUUGUAACCAUUGUGAUUUUGGGGAUAAUUUAAAUUUUCCCAUUGUUGUUGUUUCUUGAAUUUUCGAAUCAAAAGUAUGACAAAUUCGAAAUUGCUGAAUAUUUUUAUUUAUAUUACUGUCAUGUUUCGGCAACACACACGUGAUAUUCGAAAUAUGAACUCAAACCAUUUUACGUACUCUAUGAAUAAAGAAUUUUCUAAUAA